GCCCUGUGAUGCUGGUAGAGGUGGCUUUUAUUUCUGAUUGAGCUUGCCUUCGUUGACGCUCAGUUCCCGUGUUUUCAGACAGGGAACCACGGCUGUACUCACAGCGGAUACUGAAUUCCAUCUCAAGUUUAACAGCCCGAUAAUACCAUGACGUCUCGGGCGCUUUUACGCCCUGUAUAUAAUGAUCCGGGAGGGUAGGUUUAAAGGGGAUAAACUACUCCGAGAAAGAAUGCACCCUGCUGGUCUUGUGAUAAUAUGCUUUUAGUCAUUGUCGACCAAAGGCGAGAUUUGAGGAUCCGAAACGGCGAACUGAGUGAGAAGAGAGAUGUUAAUAAAAAGAUGAUGAGGUGACAUCAGCAUCGAGACAGACAUAGCAUUUAAACUGAUUGGAAUGACAUCUAACUGUAAAACAUCAAUAAACCUCUUCAGCAAUGCUGUUCUGCUCGCCGCCGUUUCUUUCCCGUGGGUCUGAUAUAAGGACUUGGGUUUCACGCCCUUUUAGAGUAAUUUACUUUGUCUCCAGUAUGCAUAAAUAUAUUCUCUUCUACCACUCGACACGAAUUUUGGAUUCAGUAUAUCUAAAUGCUAUUUAUUAAAGUUUAUUGACAAUAUAUGAUCUGGAUUUUAGGAAAUGGGUCCAGUGUGCAAUUUUUAUAUGGGUAUUGUUUUUUUCGUUCAGUGUUAAAUUCCUGUCCACUCCAUGUCCUCGCUGUGGCGCUGUUAUUAAAGGCCUUUUACGUGCGCUGUCAGCAAGUCUCAGACAUACAAACUUGUGGCUUUUCUUUUGAACGGAUCGAUAUGUUUCUUUGCUUCGGUCCAUUUUGAUAUUUGUAUUUGUGGCUGUCCAAGUUUAUAUAGGUGCAUAGGUAUUAUUAUAAAAGAACUGCAUUAGUCCAGUUUUAGCUCACCCUCUGUGUCAUCAAGGUAAAUGUAGUAUAUAUUUCAAACCACAUGAAUCAGCUGUAAAGGGUGGCCUCGUUCCCUCCCUGCUUCAAAUUCAUCGCUAAUUUAGUUUAAAACACCACCUUCGCCUACGAAAUGUAACGGUUUUGUUUCAUGCAUAUUUCAAUCCGCUCUAAGCGUUGGAAAAAACAAUAUGUUAUUUUGUUAAGGAGAUAUGUUUUUUGCGGUGUUGUGUAUGAUGUAUGAAGUAGACAGUAUUUACCUCCCCUUGACGCCAACCUCGCGUACAUGUAUACAUCAAACGGCACGAAGCUUGCUGCAAGUGACAGAUGACAGAUGUUUUGUUUUUCAAAUAUACUUGCAUCUUUCUGACAUCAACAUUAGAACUUGUCUUGAUGUAGUAUAUGUGCUUACAUGUUGGCUUAUGUCAUUCAUAUUCAAGCACUGUCGGUGACAAUAAACACGUAUUUUACCAUUUUAAAAAGCGCGAUGACAAAUAAAGUCACAUUUUGAAAUGAGCAUCUCAGAUGGAGAUGACAUGGCACUUGUGGGAUGAAGAUUAUAUGUACAUUAAUGCUAGUAUAUCUAUUUCAAAGAUUCAUUUUGCAUUUAUCUCUGUCAUUCUAGAUGUCGACCUUCUCUCGGUCAAUGCACUUUGAAAUAGACACGAAACAUCGUUAACUCAAAAAUCUCUACCUCGAUAUAUCGUUUAUGACGAUGUAUCGUAUAGCCAAAAGUUUUAUUAUUACAGGAUAUAUACACUCCGCUUGUCUCGGAUUUUAGCUAUAUUUAAGCCCCGGCGACCUUUCGUUCUAUAAAUGUAAUAACUUCUGUGCAUGAAUUAUGUAAGAAUCGGAGGUAGCGGGUGUGAUGUCCAACGUAUUCUUGUAAAUUAACAGAUCCUUAUACAAGUCCUCCUUUUAUCACAUGUUUAAAGAAAUUCACACGUCUCAUAAAACCCAAUGGUUUCCAGUGGACUGGACCAGCUGGUACGACGUCGAUGUGUCACGUUUUACAAGUACGAUCUGCUGCUUUGACGCUUUGGCCGUGUUCGAUCCCCAUAUGGCUUCAAUGUGUGGACAUUAUCCAUGGUUUCCUUUAAAGAUCGGCUCGACUAAUUUCGAAAGAAGUGUCUAAUCGUACUCACUCGUUCAUGUCAUUAUGGUAACAACUAUUUUAUUUUUACUAGUUUCGAUAGGUUUCCGUCGUUAUUGCUUCCAUUACUCAAUGUAUUUGUUCAAGGUUUUCUUCCAGACAGCAUCAGUUAGUCAGCUAGCGCCAAUAACAUUGUGCGUUUGAACCAUUGUUUUCUUGACGCGACCGGACAGACAUUUUAACGAACAAAUGGAAGUAAACGAUUAUGGAUAAUCAAGAGUAAUGCCAGAGCUUACACUAAACAUCUUCGAUUUUGAAUAGUUAUUCAAGUAAUCAAUUAUACGUGAUCACAAUCGGACAGGGUGACAUGUGCACGACCAUCCAUCGGAACAAUCACCAUGUGGUUGAUAAGAGAAAAUGUUGUGUAAGAAUCGAACAGACAGGUCUCUAGGAAGACAACACCCCCCGUAUCGACGUCAUAAUGGGGGAUUUCCCUUAUGGCCGGCCAUUAAUUACGUAAUUUGUAAGCUUAAUGUCCAUUGGCUGGCUUUUGAUUACGUAAGUGCCGCGAGGUGGCGCUGUCACGAUUCACGAAGCACAAGGAGACUUCUGAGGCUAAAGAGCUCACAAGGGGCACAUAACUGUGUUGAGAUAUUGGCUAAAUGUCGGAGUGUAAUUCAACGCAGUUAAUGGACUUUUACGGUUCCCUAAUUGACAUGUUCUGAUAUAUAGCUGUUGUACAUUGCAAAGGCACCAUGGCGUGACGGAAGAGGGCAGGAUUUCAGAGUUGAGGAAUUCAAGUGUCAUCUCUACGGGCGUUAGACGACAUUUUCCAUGGAAGAUCAAAGAAUUUGAGCUUCCGAGAAACGGUCGUAGGACUAGCGUCGUAAAUCAGCCCCCGACCCACAAUAGUGAGGUGACAUCAAAGGCGCGUAGAGCCACGUUCACAUUUGGGCCAGAGCAACACAGGACACCGAACCUUUAUACACGCUGCCUGGAUUUUAAAACUUGGAGAAUGUCAGAAUAAAAUCUCGGCCCAUAACGCGCAAGAGCACGAAGGAUCCCUGCUUGAUUUGGUUAAUUACAGAGAACAUAAACCAGCGCUGAUUUACUAUCGACACAGCGUAAUAAAUCUCUCGCCUUUCGACCAAGCAUACAUGGCUUGUUUACUCACAAGCUUCCGUCAAGGAUACAGAGCAUGGAGACUGGUUUCUUGAUAUCAGUGCUGAGAAAGGAUGUAUCAUGUGAGUAUGUUGCGAACAAAAGAAUAAAAUCAAUUUCACUUAAA